rnacentral:rRNA from 1 species
UCAACCUGGUUGAUCCUGCCAGUAGCAUAUGCUUGUCUCAAAGACUAAGCCAUGCAUGUGUAAGUAUAAGUAUUAUAUACUGCGAAACUGCGAAUGGCUCAUUAAAUCAGCAAUAAUUUAUUUGGUGGUACCAGCAAUGGGACAUUUGGAUAACCGUGGUAAUUCUAGGGCUAAUACAUGCAAGAAGCCAGGGC